rnacentral:rRNA from 2 species
AAAUUGAAGAGUUUGAUCAUGGCUCAGAUUGAACGCUGGCGGCAGGCCUAACACAUGCAAGUCGAACGGUAACAGGAAGCAGCUUGCUGCUUCGCUGACGAGUGGCGGACGGGUGAGUAAUGUCUGGGAAACUGCCUGAUGGAGGGGGAUAACUACUGGAAACGGUAGCUAAUACCGCAUAAUGUCGCAAGACCAAAGAGGGGGACCUUCGGGCCUCUUGCCAUCGGAUGUGCCCAGAUGGGAUUAGCUUGUUGGUGGGGUAACGGCUCACCAAGGCGACGAUCCCUAGCUGGUCUGAGAGGAUGACCAGCCACACUGGAACUGAGACACGGUCCAGACUCCUACGGGAGGCAGCAGUGGGGAAUAUUGCACAAUGGGCGCAAGCCUGAUGCAGCCAUGCCGCGUGUAUGAAGAAGGCCUUCGGGUUGUAAAGUACUUUCAGCGGGGAGGAAGGGAGUAAAGUUAAUACCUUUGCUCAUUGACGUUACCCGCAGAAGAAGCACCGGCUAACUCCGUGCCAGCAGCCGCGGUAAUACGGAGGGUGCAAGCGUUAAUCGGAAUUACUGGGCGUAAAGCGCACGCAGGCGGUUUGUUAAGUCAGAUGUGAAAUCCCCGGGCUCAACCUGGGAACUGCAUCUGAUACUGGCAAGCUUGAGUCUCGUAGAGGGGGGUAGAAUUCCAGGUGUAGCGGUGAAAUGCGUAGAGAUCUGGAGGAAUACCGGUGGCGAAGGCGGCCCCCUGGACGAAGACUGACGCUCAGGUGCGAAAGCGUGGGGAGCAAACAGGAUUAGAUACCCUGGUAGUCCACGCCGUAAACGAUGUCGACUUGGAGGUUGUGCCCUUGAGGCGUGGCUUCCGGAGCUAACGCGUUAAGUCGACCGCCUGGGGAGUACGGCCGCAAGGUUAAAACUCAAAUGAAUUGACGGGGGCCCGCACAAGCGGUGGAGCAUGUGGUUUAAUUCGAUGCAACGCGAAGAACCUUACCUGGUCUUGACAUCCACGGAAGUUUUCAGAGAUGAGAAUGUGCCUUCGGGAACCGUGAGACAGGUGCUGCAUGGCUGUCGUCAGCUCGUGUUGUGAAAUGUUGGGUUAAGUCCCGCAACGAGCGCAACCCUUAUCCUUUGUUGCCAGCGGUCCGGCCGGGAACUCAAAGGAGACUGCCAGUGAUAAACUGGAGGAAGGUGGGGAUGACGUCAAGUCAUCAUGGCCCUUACGACCAGGGCUACACACGUGCUACAAUGGCGCAUACAAAGAGAAGCGACCUCGCGAGAGCAAGCGGACCUCAUAAAGUGCGUCGUAGUCCGGAUUGGAGUCUGCAACUCGACUCCAUGAAGUCGGAAUCGCUAGUAAUCGUGGAUCAGAAUGCCACGGUGAAUACGUUCCCGGGCCUUGUACACACCGCCCGUCACACCAUGGGAGUGGGUUGCAAAAGAAGUAGGUAGCUUAACCUUCGGGAGGGCGCUUACCACUUUGUGAUUCAUGACUGGGGUGAAGUCGUAACAAGGUAACCGUAGGGGAACCUGCGGUUGGA